AGUGAACGCUGGCGGUAGGCCUAACACAUGCAAGUCGAACGGCAGCACAGUAAGAGCUUGCUCUUACGGGUGGCGAGUGGCGGACGGGGGAGGAAGACAUCGGAAUCUACUUUUUCGUGGGGGAUAACGUAGGGAAACGUACGCUAAUACCGCAUACGACCUACGGGGGAAAGCACGGGAUCUUCUGACCUUGCGCGAGGGAAUGAGCCGAUGUCGGAUUAGCUAGUUGGCGGGGUAAAGGGCUAACAAGGCUACGAUCCGUAGCUGGUCUGAGAGGAUGAUCCGCUACACUGGCACUGAGACACGGUCCCCACUCCUACGGUGGGAAGCAGUGGGGACUAUUGCACGAUGGACGAAAGGCUAAUACAGCAAUACCGCGUAGGGGCAGAUGGACUUAGGCUUGUAAAGCCAUUUUGGUGGGAAAGAAAAACAGCAGGUUAACCCCCCGUGAUUAUGACGGUACCCAAAGAAUAAGCACCGGCUAACUUCGUG
rnacentral:rRNA from 1 species